UACACACCGCCCGUCGCUACUACCGAUUGAACGACCGCAGUGAGGUCUUCGGACCGAGGUACGGCGGCGUUCGCGCCGAUUUGUACAUUCGGGAAGAUGACCGAACUCGGCCGUUUAGAGGAAGUAAAAGUCGUAACAAGGUUUCCGUAGGUGAACCUGCGGAAGGAUCAUUA
rnacentral:rRNA from 1 species